UACGUAGGGUGCAAGCGUUAUCCGGAUUUACUGGGUUUAAAGGGUGCGCAGGCGGAUAUAUAAGUCAGUGGUGAAAUCUCUAGGCUUAACCUGGAAAUUGCCGUUGAUACUAUAUAUCUUGAAUGCUGUGGAGGUAAGCGGAAUAUGUCAUGUAGCGGUGAAAUGCUUAGAUAUGACAUAGAACACCUAUUGCGAAGGCAGCUUACUACGCAGAUAUUGACGCUCAUGCACGAAAGCGUGGGGAUCAAACAGG
rnacentral:rRNA from 1 species